rnacentral:rRNA from 1 species
GAUCUUUAUAGACAUUUAAUUUAAUAAGAUUAAGUUAAGUAUUAUUUUUGAUUAGGUGUGUAUUAUAUUGGGGUAAUAAUAAAAUUUAUAUAAUUUUUAUUUAGUAGUUACAAUUAUAGUUGAUUAUUUUGAUCCAAUAUUAUUGAUUAUAAAGUUAAGUUACCUUAGGGAUAACAGCAUAAUGAUUUUUGAGAGUUCUUAUCGAUAAAAUAGAUUGU